rnacentral:rRNA from 1 species
CCUACGGGAGGCUGCAGUGAGGAAUAUUGGUCAAUGGACGAGAGUCUGAACCAGCCAAGUAGCGUGAAGGAUGACUGCCCUAUGGGUUGUAAACUUCUUUUAUAUGGGAAUAAAAUGUUCCACGUGUGGGAUUUUGUAUGUACCAUAUGAAUAAGGAUCGGCUAACUCCGUGCCAGCAGCCGCGGUAAUACGGAGGAUCCGAGCGUUAUCCGGAUUUAUUGGGUUUAAAGGGAGCGUAGGUGGAUUGUUAAGUCAGUUGUGAAAGUUUGCGACUCAACCGUAAAAUUGCAGUUGAAACUGGCAGUCUUGAGUACAGUAGAGGUGGGCGGAAUUCGGGGUGUAGCGGUGAAAUGCUUAGAUAUCACGAAGAACUCCGAUUGCGAAGGCAGUUCACUGGACUGCAACUGACACUGAGGCUCGAAAGUGUGGGUAUCAAACAGGAUUAGAUACCCGGGUAGUC